rnacentral:rRNA from 1 species
GGGGAGCAAACAGGAUUAGAUACCCUGGUAGUCCACGCCGUAAACGAUGAUCAUUAGUUGGUGGCAAAAGUCACUAGCACAGCUAACGCGUUAAAUGAUCCGCCUGAGUAGUAUGCUCGCAAGAGUGAAACUUAAAGGAAUUGACGGGAACCCGCACAAGCGGUGGAGCAUGUGGUUUAAUUUGAAGAUACGCGUAGAACCUUACCCACUCUUGACAUCCUCGCAAAACUAUAGAGAUAUAGCGGAGGUUAACAGAGUGACAGAUGGUGC